UGAACGCUGGCGGCAUGCCUAACACAUGCAAGUCGAACGGCAGCACGUUGUGUAGUAAUACACAUGGGUGGCGAGUGGCGGACGGGUGAGUAAUACGUAGGGAUCUGCCUUUUGGACGGGGACAACUUGGGGAAACUCGAGCUAAUACCCGGUAAGCUCUAAGGAGGAAAGGAUGGGACUAGAGAUAGCCAUUCACCAAAAGAUGAACCUACGUCGGAUUAGCUAGUUGGUGGGGUAAAGGCCUACCAAGGCGAUGAUCCGUAGCUGGUCUGAGAGGAUGAACAGCCACACUGGGACUGAGACACGGCCCAGACUCCUACGGGAGGCAGCAGUGGGGAAUAUUGGACAAUGGGGGCAACCCUGAUCCAGCGAUGCCGCGUGUGCGAAGAAGGCCUGCGGGUUGUAAAGCACUUUGAUGGGGGAAGAAGGUUUUGUAUCGAAUAGAUACGAGAAUUGACGUUACCCCAAGAACAAGCACCGGCUAACUCUGUGCCAGCAGCCGCGGUAAUACAGAGGGUGCGAGCGUUAAUCGGAAUUACUGGGCGUAAAGGGCGCGUAGGCGGCUAUAUAAGUUAGGUGUGAAAUCCUUGGGCUUAACCUGAGCAUUGCAUUUAAUACUGUAUGGCUAGAGUAAAGUAGAGGGAAGUGGAAUUUCCGGUGUAGCGGUGAAAUGCGUAGAUAUCGGAAAGAACAUCAGUGGCGAAGGCGGCUUUCUGGACUUAUACUGACGCUGAGGCGCGAAAGCAUGGGUAGCAAACAGGAUUAGAUACCCUGGUAGUCCAUGCUGUAAACGAUGAUAACUAGAUGUUGGCAGGUAAAACCUGUGAGUAUCGAAGCAAACGCGAUAAGUUAUCCGCCUGGGGAGUACGGCCGCAAGGCUAAAACUCAAAGGAAUUGACGGGGGCCCGCACAAGCGGUGGAGCAUGUGGUUUAAUUCGAUGCAACGCGAAGAACCUUACCUACCCUUGACAUCCUGCGAAUUUCUCUGAGAGGAGGAAGUGCCGAAAGGAACGCAGAGACAGGUGCUGCAUGGCUGUCGUCAGCUCGUGUCGUGAGAUGUUGGGUUAAGUCCCGUAACGAGCGCAACCCUUGUCCUUAGUAGCCAUCAUUUAGUUGGGCACUCUAAGGGGACUGCCGGUGAUAAACCGGAGGAAGGUGGGGAUGAGGUCAAGUCAUCAUGGCCUUUAUGGGUAGGGCCACACACGUGCUACAAUGGUCGGUACAAAGGGAAGCGAACUCGCGAGGGGGAGCAAAUCUCAAAAAGCCGAUCGUAGUCCGGAUUGGAGUCUGCAACUCGACUCCAUGAAGUUGGAUCGCUAGUAAUCGCGGAUCAGACGCCGCGGUGAUACGUUCCCAGGCAUCACACACCGCCCG
rnacentral:rRNA from 1 species